GGUACAGGUACCAUCAUUAUUGGCACCUGGAUAUCCAAGACCUGUGACCCCAGAAAGAUAAUCCAAAUUAUGGCUAUUUAGAAAAAUGUAGUAACUAUAUCUAUAGAUCAGGGGUCCUCAAAGAAGAAGAAAGAAGACAAGCCGGGCUGCAUGAACAAGUGGAUGAGGAGCAGGCUUGAUAAAGGCAUUGUGUGGGAAUAAAAGACGUUUCUUAAGAAGUUCUGACUUCAUCCGGACACUGAUUUGAAGUAUCAGGC